rnacentral:rRNA from 14 species
GGGUCGGUGAUGGGGAGCGCGGGACCUGAACCGGGGAGGCAAGCGCAUUAACAGGUGUGACGCAGGAAGGUAGCCGGGCCGGGCAAUGGAAAUGACCUGGUCUAAGGGUGUAGGGCUGCCGGUAGGUAAAUCCGCCGGCUGUAUGCCUGAGACCUGAUGGGCGCCCACAUGGUGGGUGAUCCGGUGAUCCUAUGCUGCCUAGAAAAGCAUCGGCGCGAGGUUCAAACUGCCCGUACCCUAAACCGACACAGGUGGUCAGGUAGAGAAUACCAAGGCGCUUGAGAGAACUCUGCUGAAGGAACUAGGCAAAAUGGUACCGUAACUUCGGGAGAAGGUACGCUGCCGAUGGUGAGUAGUCACGCACUACAAAGCUAUUGGCAGUCGCAGAUACCAGGCCGCUGCAACUGUUUAUUAAAAACACAGCACUCUGCAAACACGAAAGUGGACGUAUAGGGUGUGACGCCUGCCCGGUGCUGGAAGAUUAAAUGAUGGGGUGCAAGCUCUUGAUUGAAGUCCCAGUAAACGGCGGCCGUAACGAUAACGGUCCUAAGGUAGCGAAAU